ACGGGUGAGUAAUGUCUGGGAAACUGCCUGAUGGAGGGGGAUAACUACUGGAAACGGUAGGCUAAUACCGCAUAACGUCGCAAGACCAAAGAGGGGGACCUUCGGGCCUCUUGCCAUCAGAUGUGCCCAGAUGGGAUUAGCUAGUAGGUGGGGUAACGGCUCACCUAGGCGACGAUCCCUAGCUGGUCUGAGAGGAUGACCAGCCACACUGGAACUGAGACACGGUCCAGACUCCUACGGGAGGCAGCAUG
rnacentral:rRNA from 1 species